rnacentral:rRNA from 1 species
AUGAAAUGGAUGGAUGUAUGGACAUCUUGUUAUGCAGAUGUCAUGUGUGAAACUCUUUUCAGUUGUAUUGUCUUGACCCGUUUCGGAUGGCACAACCAGUUUCUACUGAUACGUCUUCAACGUAUCUAUAAUUUUUUUAUUGUUCCAUGCUAUUAUAUUAUCUGUUUUGGAUGUUUAAUGGGCUUUAUUAUGCACUUUUAUAUUAUUUUUGGGACUAACCUAUUAACCGAAGGCCCAGUGCAAAUUGCUAUUUUUUUUUGCCUAUUUCAGUGUUUCGCAGAAAAGGAAUAUCAAAUGGAAUCCAAACGGAAUGAAACCUUCGUGAGGAUCGUUUUUGGAACAAACGCAAUCCAGGAGACUUGGAGUGGACGUCAAGGAAGCAACGAGAUGGCCACGAGGGAAAACCAACGCAUGCUCAAGAGGUAG